UUUGGGAAAUGAUGACAAGCUACAGAAUACUUUCAGAGGCAUUUGCUAUGCUGAACUUGUUAUUUGCACGUCAGUCUGAUCCCUUG